rnacentral:rRNA from 1 species
AGCGAACGCUGGCGGCAGGCCUAACACAUGCAAGUCGAACGAGACCUUCGGGUCUAGUGGCGGACGGGUGAGUAACACGUGGGAACGUGCCUUUAGGUUCGGAAUAACUCAGGGAAACUUGUGCUAAUACCGAAUGUGCCCUUCGGGGGAAAGAUUUAUCGCCUUUAGAGCGGCCCGCGUCUGAUUAGCUAGUUGGUGAGGUAAUGGCUCACCAAGGCUACGAUCAGUAGCUGGUCGGAGAGGAUGAUCAGCCACAUUGGGACUGAGACACGGCCCACACUCCUACGGGGGGCAGCAGUGGGGAAUCUUGCGCAAUGGGCGAAAGCCUGACGCAGCCAUGCCGCGUGUAUGAUGAAGGUCUUAGGAUUGUAAAAUACUUUCACCGGUGAAGAUAAUGACUGUAGCCGGAGAAGAAGCCCCGGCUAACUUCGUGCCAGCCGCCGCCGUAAGAC